GGAGGUGUGCCAGAGCGGUCGAAUGGGGCAGUCUCGAAAACUGUUGUAUACGCAAGUGUACCGGGGGUUCGAAUCCCUCCACCUCCG
rnacentral:tRNA from 1 species